GACGAACGCUGGCGGCGUGCCUAAUACAUGCAAGUAGAACGCUGACGGAGGAGCUUGCUUCUCUGGCUGAGUUGCGAAGGGGUGAGUAACGCGUAGGUAACCUGCCUGGUAGCGGGGGGGAACUAUUGGAAACGAUAGCUAAUCCCGCAUAACAGUCGAUGUUGCAUGACAUUUGCUUAAAAGUUGCACUUGCAUCAAUUCCAGAUGGCCCUGCGUUGUUUUCGCUAGGUUGUGGGGUAACGGCUCCACAAGGCGACGAUACAUACCCGACCUGGGAGGGGUGUCGGCCAACAUGGGACUUGGACAAGGCCCAAGAUCCUACGGGAGGCAGCAGUAGGGGAUCUUCGGCCAUGGGCGGAAGGCUGACCGAACAACGCCGCGGGAGGUAAGAAGGGUUUCGGGUCGUAAAGCUCUGUUGGAAGGGAAGAAAGAGUGUGAGAGUGGAAAGUUCACACUGUGACGGUAUCUAACCAGAAAGCGACGGCUAACUACGUG
rnacentral:rRNA from 1 species